CCUACGGGUGGCAGCAGUGAGGAAUAUUGGUCAAUGGGCUUACGCCUGAACCAGCCAAGUCGCGUGAGGGAAGACUGCCCUAUGGGUUGUAAACCUCUUUUGUCAGGGAGCAACGCCGGCUACGUGUAGCCGGACUGAGAGUACCUGAAGAAAAAGCAUCGGCUAACUCCGUGCCAGCAGCCGCGGUAGUACGGAGGAUGCGAGCGUUAUCCGGAUUUAUUGGGUUUAAAGGGUGCGUAGGCGGAAUGCCAAGUCAGCGGGAAAAUCGCGGGGCUCAACCUCGCUCCGCCGUUGAAACUGGCGGUCUUGAGUGGGCGAGAAGUAUGCGGAAUGCGUGGUGUAGCGGUGAAAUGCAUAGAUAUCACGCAGAACUCCGAUUGCGAAGGCAGCAUACCGGCGCCCAAAUGACGCUGAAGCACGAAAGCGUGGGUAUCGAACAGGAUUAGAUACCCUAGUAGUC
rnacentral:rRNA from 1 species